rnacentral:hammerhead_ribozyme from 1 species
AUCCAGCUGACGAGUCCUAAACAGGACGAAACAUUCGUCUUGGAU